rnacentral:tRNA from 3 species
UUAUCAUUAAUCCCCAAAAUUAAUAUUUUAAUUAAACUAUCUCCUG